rnacentral:rRNA from 1 species
GUUUGAUCCUGGCUCAGAUUGAACGCUGGCGGCAGGCUUAACACAUGCAAGUCGAGCGGAUGAAGGUAGCUUGCUACUGGAUUCAGCGGCGGACGGGUGAGUAAUGCUUAGGAAUCUGCCUAUUAGUGGGGGACAACGUUCCGAAAGGAGCGCUAAUACCGCAUACGUCCUACGGGAGAAAGCAGGGGACCUUUGGGCCUUGCGCUAAUAGAUGAGCCUAAGUCGGAUUAGCUAGUUGGUAGGGUAAAGGCCUACCAAGGCGACGAUCUGUAGCGGGUCUGAGAGGAUGAUCCGCCACACUGGGACUGAGACACGGCCCAGACUCCUACGGGAGGCAGCAGUGGGGAAUAUUGGACAAUGGGGGGAACCCUGAUCCAGCCAUGCCGCGUGUGUGAAGAAGGCCUUUUGGUUGUAAAGCACUUUAAGCGAGGAGGAGGCUACCUAGAUUAAUACUUUAGGAUAGUGGACGUUACUCGCAGAAUAAGCACCGGCUAACUCUGUGCCAGCAGCCGCGGUAAUACAGAGGGUGCGAGCGUUAAUCGGAUUUACUGGGCGUAAAGCGUGCGUAGGCGGCCAAUUAAGUCAAAUGUGAAAUCCCCGAGCUUAACUUGGGAAUUGCAUUCGAUACUGGUUGGCUAGAGUAUGGGAGAGGAUGGUAGAAUUCCAGGUGUAGCGGUGAAAUGCGUAGAGAUCUGGAGGAAUACCGAUGGCGAAGGCAGCCAUCUGGCCUAAUACUGACGCUGAGGUACGAAAGCAUGGGGAGCAAACAGGAUUAGAUACCCUGGUAGUCCAUGCCGUAAACGAUGUCUACUAGCCGUUGGGGCCCUUGAGGCUUUAGUGGCGCAGCUAACGCGAUAAGUAGACCGCCUGGGGAGUACGGUCGCAAGACUAAAACUCAAAUG